GCCGCGUGGAGGAUGAAGGUCUUGGAUUGUAAACUCCUGUUAAGCGAGAAGAAAGACCUAUCUCUAAUAUAGAUAGGGGAUGACGUUAUCGCUAGAGAAAGCACCGGCUAACUUCGUGCCAGCAGCCGCGGUAAUACGAGGGGUGCAAGCGUUAUUCGGAAUUACUGGGCGUAAAGGUUGCGUAGACGGUUUAUUAAGUCUCUUGUUAAAUACCUCGGCCCAACCGAGGAUCAGCAGGGGAUACUGAUAGACUAGAGGAUGAGAGAGAAGAGUGGAAUUCUCGGAGUAGCGGUAAAAUGCGUAGAUCUCGAGAGGAACACCGAUGGCGAAGGCAGCUCUUUGGCUCAUUCCUGACGUUCAAGCAAGAAAGCGUGGGGAGCAAACAGGAUUAGAUACCCUGGUAGUCCACGCUGUAAACGAUGAUCACUAGACGUCGGUUUUGCAUAGCAGAAUCGGUGUCGUAGCUAACGCGUUAAGUGAUCCGCCUGGGGAGUACGGUCGCAAGAUUAAAACUCAAAGAAAUUGACGGGGGUCCGCACAAGCGGUGGAACAUGUGGUUUAAUUCGACACUACGCGAGAAACUUACCUGGGUUUGACAUGCAUUUGACCGGUGUGGAA
rnacentral:rRNA from 1 species